rnacentral:lncRNA from 1 species
GCCUGUCAAGUUUCAAUCAGAUUGAGGUCAAGCCUGAGAUGAUUGGCCACUAUUUGGCGGAGUUCUCCAUCUCAUAUAAGCCUGUCAAGCAUGGUAGACCUGGUAUUGGUGCUACUCACUCGUCAAGGUUUAUACCACUCAAGUGAUCUGGCCGAGUUCUCUAUCUCAUAUAAGCAUAUCAAGCUUGGUAGACCUGGUAUUGGUGCUACUCACUCGUCAAGGUCCAUACAACUCAAGUGAUUUUGGCGCCAAUGUCUACUUUUGCUUCUGUUCUAGCCUUGUCUGAACUAUUUCGUACAACAAUUUUGAUGUGAGAUCAAGUGUUAUUACUGUUUAGUUUGUAAGACUAGUGUUUUCCUGAAACAUCAACAUUGAUUUGGCAUUUUUUAAUCAUGAAUAUCGUCAUAUUUGACUUGCAACAUCAACUGCUUGAUUUGCGGAGUAUGAGCCCAUCCUAAUGAUGUCCCAGAGUUUUGGACCAGUAAAAUAGUCGAAGUAACUGAAUUAUGUGCAUUGCGUGCUGUAAAUAUGUGAUAAUAUAGUAGAAGUAAACCGAAAUAUGUGCAUGGAGUGCUGUAAAUACGUCUAUCUUGAUGUUAAAUCAAAAUCUCCUUGCAGCUUUAUGAGUGACAGAAUACUCUAUUCUGAUGCUCGAGACUGGAUGUAUCGCUGCUAAUAUUUCAGCAGUGUAUUUAACCUAGAAUGGCUUGACGAGGAAGAUCAAACAAAAGAAAAGGUAAGAAACAGAGGAGAAUCUUUCCCAAUUCAUUUGCAAAGUUCUUGUGGUUGUGGU